rnacentral:rRNA from 1 species
CCUACGGGAGGCAGCAGUGGGGAAUAUUGCACAAUGGGGGAAACCCUGAUGCAGCGACGCCGCGUGAAGGAAGAAGUAUCUCGGUAUGUAAACUUCUAUCAGCAGGGAAGAAAACAGACGGUACCUGACUAAGAAGCCCCGGCUAACUACGUGCCAGCAGCCGCGGUAAUACGUAGGUGGCGAGCGUUAUCCGGAUUUAUUGGGCGUAAAGCGUCCGCAGCCGGUUUAUUAAGUAUAGAAUAAAACUUCGGGGCUCAACCCCGUCUCGUUCUAAAAACUGAUAGACUAGAGUGUGGUAGAGGCAA